ACGAACGCUGGCGGCGUGCUUAACACAUGCAAGUCGAACGGAAAGGCCCUGCUUUUGUGGGGUGCUCGAGUGGCGAACGGGUGAGUAACACGUGAGUAACCUGCCCUUGACUUUGGGAUAACUUCAGGAAACUGGGGCUAAUACCGGAUAGGAGCUCCUGCUGCAUGGUUGGGGUUGGAAAGUUUCGGCGGUUGGGGAUGGACUCGCGGCUUAUCAGCUUGUUGGUGGGGUAGUGGCUUACCAAGGCUUUGACGGGUAGCCGGCCUGAGAGGGUGACCGGCCACAUUGGGACUGAGAUACGGCCCAGACUCCUACGGGAGGCAGCAGUGGGGAAUAGUGCACAAUGGGCGGAAGCCUGAUGCAGCAACGCCGCGUGCGGGAUGACGGCCUUCGGGUUGUAAACCGCUUUCGCCUGUGACGAAGCGUGAGUGACGGUAAUGGGUAAAGAAGCACCGGCUAACUACGUG
rnacentral:rRNA from 1 species